rnacentral:rRNA from 1 species
UACGUAGGGUGCGAGCGUUAAUCGGAAUUACUGGGCGUAAAGGGUGCGCAGGCGGUUCUGCAAGUCAGGCGUGAAAGCCCCGGGCUUAACCUGGGAAUGGCGCUUGAAACUACGGGACUGGAGUAUGGCAGAGGGAGGUGGAAUUCCACGUGUAGCGGUGAAAUGCGUAGAGAUGUGGAGGAACACCGAUUGCGAAGGCAGCCUCCUGGGCCAAUACUGACGCUCAUGCACGAAAGCGUGGGGAGCAAACAGG